AAUGAACGCUGGCGGCAUGGAUUAGGCAUGCAAGUCGAACGAAGAAACCGGUGCUUGCACUGGUGGACGAGUGGCGCAAGGGUGAGUAACGCGUGAGUAACCUACCCUCAAGCUUGGGAUAACAGUUGGAAACGACUGCUAAUACCAAAUGUGGAUAAUUUAAGGAUUCUUGAAUUAUCUAAAGAUUUAUCACUUGAGGAUGGGCUCGCGUUCCAUUAGUUAGUUGGUGAGGUAACGGCUCACCAAGACUGCGAUGGAUAGCUGGUCUGAGAGGAUGAUCAGCCACACUGGGACUGAGACACUGCCCAGACUCCUACGGGAGGCUGCAGUCGAGAAUCUUCCGCAAUGCACGAAAGUGUGACGGAGCAAUGCCGCGUGUGGGACGAAUGCCUUCGGGUUG
rnacentral:rRNA from 1 species